rnacentral:tRNA from 1 species
GGUCUCGUAGCUCAGCUGGAUAGAGCAACAGCCUUCUAAGCUGUGGGUCUUGGGUUCGAAUCCCAACGAGAUCA